UCCUGUAUGAAUCAUUGUUGGAGGGCUUCUACUUUGGAGCCUUGUGGAGAUCACUCUAUUACCAGAUCAUCAUCUUCGUAUUUGGUAUAUGACUUCUGAUCCCUCAUUAAUAUGCAUGCUAAAAUUGUUUGUUUGUAAUCAUCAAGGAGUUUCUAAGGUUUGUAUUUCAGUAGUCAUAUUUUAAUUAUUAAAACUUAUUUUCAAUAGUUGAAUGCAUGAAAAUAUUU
rnacentral:lncRNA from 1 species